rnacentral:rRNA from 1 species
AGAGUUUGAUCAUGGCUCAGGACGAACGCUGGCGGCGUGCUUAAUACAUGCAAGUCGAGCGAGGUUACUGUUUUGGAUCCCUUCGGGGUGAAGAAGCUUUAACCUAGCGGCGGACGGGUGAGUAACGCGUGGGUAACCUACCCCAAAGUCCGGGAUAACAGCGGGAAACCGCUGCUAAUACCGGAUGUCUUUACCUUGGGGCAUCUUGAGGUAAAGAAAGGUAACGCUUUGGGAUGGGCCCGCGUCCCAUUAGCUAGUUGGUGAGGUAACGGCUCACCAAGGCGACGAUGGGUAGCCGGCCUGAGAGGGUGGACGGCCACACUGGGACUGAGACACGGCCCAGACUCCUACGGGAGGCAGCAGUAGGGAAUAUUGCGCAAUGGACGGAAGUCUGACGCAGCGACGCCGCGUGAGCGAUGAAGGUCUUCGGAUCGUAAAGCUCUGUCCUUGGGGAAGAAGGCGAAAGCUUGACGGUACCCAAGAAGAAAGCCCCGGCUAACUACGUGCCAGCAGCCGCGGUAAU